UCUUUCUCUCUUCUGCAACCUCCUCUUUCACCACCUCUAGACCACCAAAUGGCGAGCUGCGAGCAUCGAUAGACUCGUCUCUUCCUCCUUAUCACGCAUGUGGGAGUUGUUUACGACGAUUUGGCCGGAAAUGUGGAGAUCGAAGCCAACAUUUUUACUGUAGCAAAUUAGUCAACGCCGAUUUCCGGCCACCUCCAGUCAUAAACCCAGGUCCAUUAGAAGCGCCUUAAGCCGCUCUUCAUGCUCGCCAAGUCUCAUAACCCAGAUCGAAGCAUGGAGGAAGAAAGCAUAAUUGGAAAAUUUCACUGUACAUCGGAGUGCUUAAUUGUUCGGCUACUUCAAGGAAUUUUCUGACUUUGUCACGGUUGAGAAAGUGAUUGGAAAUGUUGAGAUGAUGCUGUGGAUGAAAUUUGGUGGCCAGAGGAGGUGUUGGCCGCCACAUGAACAGUGUUUGUCGCAUGAAUAGUGCGGUGUAUGAGCAGUGAUUAUAUUAUGUUUUUUUUAGCUAGUUAAAUCCUAUAAUUUUUGUAGAGGUUGAAUAUGUCAAUUUAGUUGGAAUUGGAGAAGUUUUCAAUUGAUUAUGAAUUUCUGGGAAUUAGGGUUUCGAUUAUCGAUUUACGAGAAUCCGACCGUCGGAUAUCUCUUGGUUUUGACUUGGAACCUUUAAGAUAACGAAUUGGUAUUAGAUGUAAGAUUUGGGUGGAAUUUGAGAAGUAAUGGAGAUAGGGAUUUUCGGGUUUCGUUUAGGUUCGUAUUUAUUUUAUCGGAUUGCCGUUUACGGAAAUAUAAUUGUGUACAGGGCAAUGUUGCGAGCUACGGCUAGAUGAAGGAACUCGUUUUCGUGGUCGCCAACCAGUAUUAUUUAUAUUUGGUUUUUAGAAGACGCAGCGGGAAUUAGAGCGGGUAAUCCUACAGGACAGGAGAAUCAGGAAGGUGAUCGAGCUGUGUAGAGUAGCUGCUUGUGAUACUCUGAUUUUAUGUUGUGAGGUUCGUUAUGCUCGUUUAGAGUUUUACAAUUUUACUUUGUAAGAGGGAAUUGUAAUAAUUAACUCGAAGUUUACCGAUUUGGAAAUUUUGUGUAAGUGGUGGAGUUGUUUCUGAGAAAAGAA